rnacentral:rRNA from 1 species
UACGUAGGUCCCGAGCGUUGUCCGGAAUUACUGGGUGUAAAGGGUGCGCAGGCGGUCUUGUGCGUCAGAGGUGAAAUAUCACGGCUCAACCGUGAGGGUGCCUUUGAUACGGCAAGACUUGAGUACGAGAGAGGGUGAUGGAAUUCCUGGUGUAGCGGUGAAAUGCGUAGAUAUCAGGAGGAACACCGGUGGCGAAGGCGGUCACCUGGCUCGUUACUGACGCUCAGGCACGAAAGUGUGGGUAGCAAACAGGAUUAGAUACCCAGUAGUCC